UGCAAGUCCAACGUGAAAGGGGAGCAAUCCCCCGGUAAGGUGGCGAACGGGUGAGUAAGACAUGGGAAUCUGCCCUGGAGAUGGGGAUAUCCUCCCGAAAGGGGGGCUAAUACCGAAUAUCGUCCGGGUUCCGGGAGGGAUCCGGGGAAAGGGAGGCCUCUGGCAACAUGCUUCCGCUCUGGGAGGAGCCCAUGGCCCAUCAGCUAGUUGGUAGGGUAACGGCCUACCAAGGCAAAGACGGGUAGCUGGUCUGAGAGGACGAUCAGCCACACUGGCACUGAGACACGGGCCAGACUCCUACGGGAGGCAGCAGUGAGGAAUUUUGCGCAAUGGGGGCAACCCUGACGCAGCAACGCCGCGUGUGGGAAGAAGGCUUUCGGGUUGUAAACCACUUUUGUAAGGGACGAAGUCCUGCCGGUCAAGACCCGGCGGGGAUGACGGUACCUUGCGAAUAAGCCACGGCUAACUCUGUGCCAGCAGCCGCGGUAAGACAGGGGUGGCAAGCGUUGUUCGGAGUGACUGGGCGUAAAGGGUCUGUAGGUGGUUUUUCAAGUCUUUGGUAAAAAGCCGUGGCUUAACCAUGGUGAGGCCAAGGAGACUGGGAGACUGGAGGCUGGGAGAGGGAAGCGGAAUUUCUGGUGUA
rnacentral:rRNA from 1 species